CCCACCUGGAACUCACCGGCCAGUGGCUGAUCGCCACCAAAGGGCUUACUCGAUCUUCUCCGUUGUCAUGCUAAAACAGAGCCAUAAGUCCAUAACAUCAUGUCAUUUUGGGAGGACGAUGAGGGCAUUUCGGUAAACAAAUUUCAAAAGCAUAAUAAUAAGAACCCUACACCGUCAAGUCCUGAACUCUGUAUCGCAAAACCUCUCGGUACUUGUUUCUGCAACUGAAUCACAUUUCCAAACAUGGUAAGCUUCUCUAUCUACAAUUUUCAAAUAUGCAUUAUGAAAUUCUUGUGCUCUCCAUAAAGAUUGGAACUUUUCGUCUAGUUGUUGUUUUACUCUGAACGAAACAGGGGAAGGGGACUGGAACCUUUGGCAAACUCUUUGGAGCCACACUCUCUGCAUGCGGUGCGGCCGUCGGAGCUUUCAUCUUCAGAAGAGUCGUUGCGCCUCUUGCGGCUACCCCGCCAGCCGUAUCAGAAAAUAUAACUGGAGCGUGAAGGCGAUUCGGAGAAAGACUACAGGUACUGGUAGAAUGAGGUACCUUCGUCAGUCAUGUCGCGGUUAGAUUCAAGUUCAACUUCAGAGAAGGUACUGAGGCAGCUCCAAGAAAGAAGAGGGGCUAUCUAUCAUGAGCAAAUCAUAAGCUUCUCAGCUUUGGCUAAAACUAGUACUUAGGAGGUCCAGAAUGACAAUGUUUACAUUUUCUGUUCAGUAUUCUGCAUAAUAGUUUGUA